GGUUAAGCGACUAAGCGUACACGGUGGAUGCCCUGGCAGUCAGAGGCGAUGAAGGACGUGCUAAUCUGCGAUAAGCGUCGGUAAGGUGAUAUGAACCGUUAUAACCGGCGAUUUCCGAAUGGGGAAACCCAGUGUGUUUCGACACACUAUCAUUAACUGAAUCCAUAGGUUAAUGAGGCGAACCGGGGGAACUGAAACAUCUAAGUACCCCGAGGAAAAGAAAUCAACCGAGAUUCCCCCAGUAGCGGCGAGCGAACGGGGAGCAGCCCAGAGCCUGAAUCAGUGUGUGUGUUAGUGGAAGCGUCUGGAAAGGCGCGCGAUACAGGGUGACAGCCCCGUACACAAAAAUGCACAUAUUGUGAGCUCGAUGAGUAGGGCGGGACACGUGGUAUCCUGUCUGAAUAUGGGGGGACCAUCCUCCAAGGCUAAAUACUCCUGACUGACCGAUAGUGAACCAGUACCGUGAGGGAAAGGCGAAAAGAACCCCGGCGAGGGGAGUGAAAAAGAACCUGAAACCGUGUACGUACAAGCAGUGGGAGCACGCUUAGGCGUGUGACUGCGUACCUUUUGUAUAAUGGGUCAGCGACUUAUAUUCUGUAGCAAGGUUAACCGAAUAGGGGAGCCGAAGGGAAACCGAGUCUUAACUGGGCGUUAAGUUGCAGGGUAUAGACCCGAAACCCGGUGAUCUAGCCAUGGGCAGGUUGAAGGUUGGGUAACACUAACUGGAGGACCGAACCGACUAAUGUUGAAAAAUUAGCGGAUGACUUGUGGCUGGGGGUGAAAGGCCAAUCAAACCGGGAGAUAGCUGGUUCUCCCCGAAAGCUAUUUAGGUAGCGCCUCGUGAAUUCAUCUCCGGGGGUAGAGCACUGUUUCGGCAAGGGGGUCAUCCCGACUUACCAACCCGAUGCAAACUGCGAAUACCGGAGAAUGUUAUCACGGGAGACACACGGCGGGUGCUAACGUCCGUCGUGAAGAGGGAAACAACCCAGACCGCCAGCUAAGGUCCCAAAGUCAUGGUUAAGUGGGAAACGAUGUGGGAAGGCCCAGACAGCCAGGAUGUUGGCUUAGAAGCAGCCAUCAUUUAAAGAAAGCGUAAUAGCUCACUGGUCGAGUCGGCCUGCGCGGAAGAUGUAACGGGGCUAAACCAUGCACCGAAGCUGCGGCAGCGACGCUUAUGCGUUGUUGGGUAGGGGAGCGUUCUGUAAGCCUGUGAAGGUGUGCUGUGAGGCAUGCUGGAGGUAUCAGAAGUGCGAAUGCUGACAUAAGUAACGAUAAAGCGGGUGAAAAGCCCGCUCGCCGGAAGACCAAGGGUUCCUGUCCAACGUUAAUCGGGGCAGGGUGAGUCGACCCCUAAGGCGAGGCCGAAAGGCGUAGUCGAUGGGAAACAGGUUAAUAUUCCUGUACUUGGUGUUACUGCGAAGGGGGGACGGAGAAGGCUAUGUUGGCCGGGCGACGGUUGUCCCGGUUUAAGCGUGUAGGCUGGUUUUCCAGGCAAAUCCGGAAAAUCAAGGCUGAGGCGUGAUGACGAGGCACUACGGUGCUGAAGCAACAAAUGCCCUGCUUCCAGGAAAAGCCUCUAAGCAUCAGGUAACAUCAAAUCGUACCCCAAACCGACACAGGUGGUCAGGUAGAGAAUACCAAGGCGCUUGAGAGAACUCGGGUGAAGGAACUAGGCAAAAUGGUGCCGUAACUUCGGGAGAAGGCACGCUGAUAUGUAGGUGAAGUCCCUUGCGGAUGGAGCUGAAAUCAGUCGAAGAUACCAGCUGGCUGCAACUGUUUAUUAAAAACACAGCACUGUGCAAACACGAAAGUGGACGUAUACGGUGUGACGCCUGCCCGGUGCCGGAAGGUUAAUUGAUGGGGUCAGCGCAAGCGAAGCUCUUGAUCGAAGCCCCGGUAAACGGCGGCCGUAACUAUAACGGUCCUAAGGUAGCGAAAUUCCUUGUCGGGUAAGUUCCGACCUGCACGAAUGGCGUAAUGAUGGCCAGGCUGUCUCCACCCGAGACUCAGUGAAAUUGAACUCGCUGUGAAGAUGCAGUGUACCCGCGGCAAGACGGAAAGACCCCGUGAACCUUUACUAUAGCUUGACACUGAACAUUGAGCCUUGAUGUGUAGGAUAGGUGGGAGGCUUUGAAGUGUGGACGCCAGUCUGCAUGGAGCCGACCUUGAAAUACCACCCUUUAAUGUUUGAUGUUCUAACGUUGACCCCUAAUCGGGGUUGCGGACAGUGUCUGGUGGGUAGUUUGACUGGGGCGGUCUCCUCCUAAAGAGUAACGGAGGAGCACGAAGGUUGGCUAAUCCUGGUCGGACAUCAGGAGGUUAGUGCAAUGGCAUAAGCCAGCUUGACUGCGAGCGUGACGGCGCGAGCAGGUGCGAAAGCAGGUCAUAGUGAUCCGGUGGUUCUGAAUGGAAGGGCCAUCGCUCAACGGAUAAAAGGUACUCCGGGGAUAACAGGCUGAUACCGCCCAAGAGUUCAUAUCGACGGCGGUGUUUGGCACCUCGAUGUCGGCUCAUCACAUCCUGGGGCUGAAGUAGGUCCCAAGGGUAUGGCUGUUCGCCAUUUAAAGUGGUACGCGAGCUGGGUUUAGAACGUCGUGAGACAGUUCGGUCCCUAUCUGCCGUGGGCGCUGGAGAACUGAGGGGGGCUGCUCCUAGUACGAGAGGACCGGAGUGGACGCAUCACUGGUGUUCGGGUUGUCAUGCCAAUGGCACUGCCCGGUAGCUAAAUGCGGAAGAGAUAAGUGCUGAAAGCAUCUAAGCACGAAACUUGCCCCGAGAUGAGUUCUACCUGACCCUUUAAGGGUCCUGACGGAACGUUGAAGACGACGACGUUGAUAGGCCGGGUGUGUAAGCGCAGCGAUGCGAUGAGCUACCCGGUACUACUGAACCGUAAGGCUUAACCUU
rnacentral:rRNA from 1 species